GAUGAACGCCGACAGAAUGCUUAACACAUGCAAGUCAACUGUGGCGGACGGGUGAGUAACGCGUAAAGAACUUGCCUCACAGAUAGGGACCACAUUUGGAAACGAAUGCAAAUACCUGAUACUGUGAGAGAGCGUUGCGUCCCAUUAGCUCGUGGGAGAGGUAACGGCUCACCAAGGCGAGGAUGGGUAGCCGGCCUGGGAUGGUGAUCGGCCACAAGGGGACUGAGACACGGCCCUUACUCAUACGGGAGGAAGCAGUGGGGAAUAUUGGACAACAGACCAAAGUCUGAUACAGCAAUUCUGGGUGAACGAUGAAGUUUUCGGAAUGUAAAGUGCUUUCAGUUGGGAAGCAGUACCAACAGAAGAAGCGACGGCUAACUACGUGCCAGCAGCCGCGGUAAUAC
rnacentral:rRNA from 1 species